GUAUUUCCUAUGUUCAGUGGGUCGUCCUUCACACAGUUUUUUUUUCCAGUCUACAAGUCUAUUUUCUUCCUUUAUUUGGGUGCCCAGCUGCUUCAUUCUUCUCGGCUGUUCUUCUUGUUGUGUUGUGCUCUCUGUUUCUGUCGUUUCGACUGCUGUCAAAUUCUGCUGCGCGUGGUCCGAUUGUUUGGCUGCGAGCUGACUAUGCAGGGUUUUGGUAGAGCCCUGGGGGUCGCCGUGGCCUGCUGGUGGGUUGCUGCCUGCUCUUUUCUGCACUGAGCUGGUCUGUUCGUUUAGGCGAGGUGCAACGCUUCUGGAUCGUAACGUAUUGUUUCUUCAGGGUCUGCUGUUCGUAUUUGAGCAAGAAGACAAUAAGAAGGAUCCAGGGGAACACUUUGGUGUAUAAGGAGAACAUGGUGCUACUUUCUCUCUUUCUAACACAAUCAAGUUUGUUUCUGAUGAAUCCUUCUCCUGAUGCAACAAUCUCUAUGAUACUCAUCAAAUUAAACAAAUCCAUUUCAUCUCUUCCAUUAAUUAGUUGUUGUUCAGAUUCCACUUAAUAGUUAUUCGUGAAUACAUGUAGUUGAUCUGGGGGAAAAACCAGUCCGCAAAAUGUUGGCUUGGGCCUUCUUGGUUUGCUAACUAAGUUUUUAAAGCCAAAAUCAGGGCUAGCCAAUUGGAUACCAAUUUUUUUAAGCCAAUGUGAGGAGAAACAUGGGCCAUUGGCAAAUUUCAGGACCAAACCAAGUGAAGGCCAAAUAUUUCUUAGCUUGCCAAAAUUCGACUUGUCAAACGUAGUUCACUAUGCUAUGGUGUGAGGCCCUGGAAUAAAUUGGUAUUGUUAAUAUAUCAAGGAUAGUUAUUAUUUUCUUAUAUAAUCAUCUUGCUGAACAUAAUAACAGCAUGACUGGCAUAGUUAAAGUGUCGUGACUUGCCAGCACCAAACUUGAUUGUCCUUUGCCAUGUUGAAUUCACAGCUUAUUUCGUUGCAAGACCACCCAACUCGUGAAGAAUGCCCUCUUAAAUAUAUCAUCUGGAUGUUGCUACAAUGUAUCCAAAUAUCAUUUUCACUAAUAUGCUCCAGGUAUUCUUGUACACUUUAAUCAAGUAUUCAAUGUUGCUCUGCUGUUAUUAUCAGCAUGGAUACUUCCAUGACCAUGGUCCAUGGGUGAUAUAUAUGAAUUUUGUGUGCAUAACAAGCUAAGGAGAUCUUGAUCUGGUGAGGUACAGCUUAACUUGCUUUUCUGGCGUUCUAGCUAUAUAAUUUCUGAGGAUUGUCUGGUUGAGAUCUAGAUUCUCUUUGGGCACCAUUUGCUCAAUCAUCAUUCUGGGAUUUACAACGAGUGCAGGAAAUUUGAACCGUGGCAUUGCCAUAAUUCAAUUAUGACACCAUUGUAUUUCAUCACUGAUUGUUUCACCCAAAUCAUAUGUGCUUGACUGAUGGCAGGCAAUUCACACAUUAGCGAGCUGGGGGCAUAACUGCAAGACCAGCAUAGUGACACGUGCACACACCAAAUAAUUUUAAUAAAUUGAGCAUAGGUAGUCUUGAGCUUACUAUUUUCUGCUGUCAUACCGUGGUUUCAUGCACAAACCAAUUGACCUAAAAGCCUAGCUGUUAUAGUCCUUAUGGAAAGGUGUGCAAUUUAAACUAUUAGCUACACAUGUUUCAACAGGCACUUAGGCAGAUUUAUGUCUGCUGAUGACAGUACCACACAGGCUGAUAACUAAGGCCUCUUUGUUGUAGUCACCAUAUGUUACAAAGAUUUAACCAAAGUGGUUCAGCUUUAUUCAGUUGUAUCGUCAUACAAGGUAUUUACAAGAUUAUAGCAAUUAAACUAAGUCUUGUCUUUUCCUAUCCUACUUGUUGAUGGCAGCCACCACCCAUAGUUACAGAUGUGGAGCACAGCAUGCGAUUUCAAUCAUCCUGGAAAGAAUUGCCUUAGAACACUUGAAUGGGUAUGGCGAGGAGAGACAUACAUGGCAAGGAAGAAGUAUAAUUUACAAAUUUAUAUGAGUAUGUUGAUUUUCCAAUCUAAUGUUUUUCUAUUUUGAAGUGACUAUCAUCAUCACAUAAAGAUUAAACAGGCAAAUUGAGUCAGAGAUGAUUCAACCUGGUGGGGUUACGUCUUCAAAGCCUUUUCUUGACCUCUCAAAACCAGAACAUUUAAUAAAACUUAAGGAUUGUUGAAGAAGUACUGCCAGAAGGCGUAUAAAAGAGUGGUCGACAAACCAAUUACAGAAGUGAGAGGAGCUGGAAUAUGCACGUGUGGAAAUUAUUUCCAUGUAGAUAGAGUGCAAAGGUCUGUCAAAUACAGUUGUUAUGCACGUGUGGAAAUUAUGACACCAUUGUUCGGAUUUGCUAAAAAAAUAAUACAGUUUGUCCUUUUUGUUGGAAGCAAACAAUUUUGUUUACCAUUUGGUAUGGGUGCCUUUGACGAUUAUUAUGCAGAGUUAGUGUGCCCUUUGAUUUUCUUGGUGUCAAAAUACUAUGCUCGGAUUUAAAGCUAUAACUACUUGACUCUUGCCCUACUAAUGAAAUGAUCGAUUGGUGGUUAAUCGUCUUCAUAGGUGGUGGGGUGAAAUAGAUGGGAUGUUAUGAAAUUUAGACUUAGCUAACUUGAAGUUCAGGUUAUUAAUUAAUGGCAUGUCACUAUCUGUUACACGGGUGCGACGUGCUGCCGAGCAAAGGGUUUUGGUAGUAGAAACGAUAUAUCUUUCUCUCCACUAAAGGGCGGAGAGUUUCCCUUCUUGCCCGAUCGGCCACGUCGAUUCUUUUACCUUUUUUUUUUCCGACGGUUGAGUGUGAUGGGCUUCUGUGGGCCGUCGGAGGCUGGUGGGCUUUCGGUUCCGGUUGCGUCCAACUUUGGGUGUCUUCGAGAAAUCUCCUGGGCGAUUGGGUGGGGUUCGGUUGAAUCGAGGUGGUUCUCACCGGGUGUUGGGUUGGUGCUGCGCCAUCUCCGGCUUCUUGCUCUUGGCGGCGGUGGGGGUCAGUGGAGGUGGAGGCGCUGGUGGUCUGUCGUUGGGGAUUUCUUCGCCUCUCCCGGUCCUGCUCUGUUUCUGGUUCGUUGGGCUCUCCGUUGGCUGGAUUGGUCUCCUUCAGGUUGGGGUUGGGCAAGGUCGUACGAUUGCUGGAUUUUGCUGUUAGCGGCCGGUGGUGCUCACUAAUUACAUGAUUUCAUGGUUUUUGCGUUGAUGAAUGUUACGGCAAUGGUGGAAGUAUAGCAUUAAGUAGUCUUGAUAAAUCACUGUUAAAUUUAUUGGAUGAGCUUUUUUUGGAACUGUUUGACUAUAUCCAGAGCACGCAUAUGAAAUACUUCCAUAUCCAGAGCAAGAAAGCAUAGAAGAAUGCAAUAUACGAAAGCUUUUCAUAUGGAUUUCAUUUACUUAAAGCAGGUCAUUGGGUUUAAAACAAAAAGGUGUGAAAUCUGAGUACCUUGACAACACCAAAAUGAAUACCACUGUUAGCAGUGAGGCUGAGAAAGGCAUUUCUGAUGUUCUCUACAUGACACCAAAGAAAGUUAUCUCGCUUCCUUCAAGGUGAAAUCCUGUGAUAUAGAAAACAGACUAUACACAUUGUCGACUUAUAUCUUGCAGUGCUUACCAUAUUCUUCUGAGACCAAUUGCCAUUAUUUGGCUGGAAGAGGAAGGCCUUGAUACUGCAAAUUACUGCUCUUCUUGUUUCCUUAGUCCCUUGUAAAAUCUGGUAAUAUAGCACCCAGUCUGUUGAUUUACCUUUUUUAAGCCUUUUGGAUUUUGGAGUAACUUGCUGGCUUCUCGAUUCUGCUCGUUGGCCAUUGAUGAAGCGCAUUGCAUAUCAUUUACUGCCUUAUUUUGGAUUUGUGUGUUUCUUCCAAUUCUCCCUCCUACCCUUAAACCGCACAAUUUUCUCCAAUUUGUUGAUUAGUUAGUCUCUGACUUAUUUGUUGCUCCAUUUACUAGAUCUUUCCUUUCCAUUGCAAUGCUCUCCUGUUCCGAGGCCAGAGUAUUAUCAGCCAUGCAUUAGAAUUCCUCGAAGAUAAUACUAUUGUUUUUAGGAACUGGGGCUUGUGGUUAUUGACAAUCGAUCUGAUAUGCAGGUGUUCUAUCUGCUUGGUUGCCAUGGAAAAGCCUCUCUCUUAGCCCUGAGCACAUAGGAGAUGAGAAAGUCAAGGUUCUUGCACCUCCUUAAGUUGACCAGACUAUACCGGGAAUUGCAGUGCUACUUAAUAGAAAAUCCACCUUUGGAUUUUUUUUUGAUUAAUUUAGUGCAUGCUUAUGGAUUAAUUCUGUUACAAAGUGCUUCCUAUUGUUUCAAAUAGUGUUUAUUAAUGUUACAGUAAACAUCUCAGACUUUGUUGACCUGUUGUUAUCUGGCGUGGCAAAGCGCGCUUAUCUGUAAGGUAGUUAACUUUUAAAAGUUGAUGUGCUGUUGCACUUGUAAAAGACUGUUCAAGAUGGGCCAGCACAGUGUGUGGCGCGUAAUUCAAACGCGGAAGAAGGCAGCGGUACAGGUGAGGUCCACAUGUCGAAAACGCCCUGCUGACCCGUCCGUAGAGAAGGUUAGGAGGCCUUGGAGAGGGAAUCGCAUGUCGCCACUGCGGCCAGGAGAAGAAGAGGGUGGCCUCGUGCUCUAGCCUAUCCAUGACGCCCUGUGCCACCUCUUUCUCUCUCGCUCGACCAACUCCUCCCGCCGCCGGAUCUGCCGCCACCUUCCUUUGCGCUGCCGCGCUCGCCGGCCGCCUCCUGGCCAGAGUAUUAUCAGUCAUGCCUCGCUGCUUCUGAGCAACUCCCUUGUGCUCCUCGGCGGUUCAGGUGGCCGUGGACCUAGAGGUAGCGGCUGGAUCGCGCGCUGCCGGUUGUCGGUCCCGAUCUCAGUGCGGGCUCCGGCUCCACCAUGUGCAUUACUCCACAAGAGAAGAAAGGCGUUAAGGUGCAUUCUGCAAUCUGUUUCUGAAAACUAGAACAUUGGAUCAAACUGCAUCUUCUUGUACUGGAAAAUAGAUCAUGUGCAUCUUGUUUGUGAAGCACAAAGUGCAAAGUACAAAUUUCUCCAGAGUUUGAAUGAAUUCUCUCCACAUUGGAAGCAGUUUUUUCAGAA